UACAUGGGGUGCAAACGUUGCUCGGAAUUAUUGGGCGUAAAGCGCACGUAGGCGGUUUGUUAAGUCGGAUGUGAAAUCCCUCGGCUUAACCGGGGAACUGCGUCUGAUACUGGAUGGCUUGAGUUUGGGAGAGGGAUGCGGAAUUCCAGGUGUAGCGGUGAAAUGCGUAGAUAUCUGGAGGAACACCGGUGGCGAAGGCGGCUCACUGGACCGGUACUGACGCUGAUGCGCGAAAGCGUGGGGAGCAAACAGG
rnacentral:rRNA from 1 species